rnacentral:rRNA from 1 species
AUAGGGGAGCCGAAGGGAAACCGAGUCUUAACUGGGCGUUAAGUUGCAGGGUAUAGACCCGAAACCCGGUGAUCUAGCCAUGGGCAGGUUGAAGGUUGGGUAACACUAACUGGAGGACCGAACCGACUAAUGUUGAAAAAUUAGCGGAUGACUUGUGGCUGGGGGUGAAAGGCCAAUCAAACCGGGAGAUAGCUGGUUCUCCCCGAAAGCUAUUUAGGUAGCGCCUCGUGAA